rnacentral:lncRNA from 1 species
CAUACAUCCACUCAUUUCCAUCUCUAGAUUUACCCAAAAUUAUUCUACUCCUAUCCAGGAGAGAAUAGCCAAAAACAUUAUCCUAUUCCUGUUACUCCCUGUGAAAUAAAUGCUCGAGAUAUUUUGGUUACUACCACUUGCUACAUUAUUCUAUGAGGGUGAGUGCUCUGAAAAAAGUGAAUACGAGGAAAUAAAAAGGGGCAAGUGCCCGAAACCUCGAAAGAAAAGAAAAACUGAGACGAGAGGUAAAAAUGGACAAGUAUCCGACAGUAGAAUUAGGGGUACAAGAUACCCACCUGAGAGAAAAGAAAAAGAAAAUAUACAGCAUCUCAUUCCUCUCAAAAACCUUCAAAGUGCAAGAAAGGUAUGUAUCCCCUCAAAAGAGCAAAAGUAGAAUUAGACUUUUACCAUUAUUUUCACCAUUAUCACCAUCAUCACCAUACACCAUUCAUCCGCCACACAUGCACAUCUUGAUUUGACUUAUUGACUUGUUUCUCUGGAUCUAUGGUUUGACUAUGCAAUAAAUGUCUUGUAAGUAUGUAUUAGUUGUCCCCACCUAUGAGCUCUAGAUAUCAAAACCUUGUUAGAGUAGGGUGAGAGAGAAGGCAAUAUCAUUAUGCCUCAUACCAAAAAUACCACAUACUUUGAGAGAAGGCAUAUAUCAUCACUGCCUUGGUAAGGAUCCAGAAAUACCACAAAAGAGAGAUUUGAGAGAGUCAUACAAGGAAUCUCUAAGUUUUAUUUGAAAACCUGCAAAAACUCCAGAGCUAUAGUUGAUCAAAGAACAAGAGAUAUGGUGCUUGACUUGACCGUUCUAUCUUUUAACUGCUCAAGACACAAGUGACGGUUGCAAGCCCCAUGGUGGAAGGUAAUAUGAGUAAGUUUAAAUCUUAACAGUUUACCUUAACCUAUAGAUGAGAUCUUGUUUGAACGCAUGAGUACCUUUAAGGCAUAAAACCACUGCAAAAACUCUUGAGUCUAUCCUUGCUCAGGGACGAGUAAGAGGUAAGCUUGGGGGAGUUUGUUGAUGGUCCUUAAGUAUCAAGUUUAAUCAUCAAAUAAAUAAAUAAAAGGAUCCAAAUGCAACCAACACCUAGACUUAGGGUUUCAUCUGAUAGAAUUCCAUAAGUUUUGGUGUUUGUCUAUUUCUGCAGGGGGUUAUCAGGAAAUAUGGAGUAUAGGCCCACACGUCGGGUUUACAUAGAGAUAUUAACGUGCCACGCAAUUUUCUAUCAUCUAGAAGACUUCAGAAGCCACGGGAACAAAGUGGAAGCCGAGAGGGCUCUGGGACAGGGCGCCCGCCCAAGUCCUUAGGGCGCCCGCCCACCUAUUUCGGCCAAUCACGUUCAACUUCGCAGAUUACGCUCCACCGACCUAAAGGAUCAAGAAUAACUGUUCAAUCAAUGUCGGUUUGAUCCGAUGGCCCAGAUUCACUUGAAGGGACUAUAUAACCAGACCCCCUGGCCCCUGGAGGAGGUACCCCUUGAUCAUUAUUCAUAGACAGAGCAAAAGCUAGGGUUUAGAGAUGAGUGCUCUCCUCUCUUCUCUAAACUAGAGUAGAUCUAGAUAGUAGCGAGAUGGAGAGCGAGGGAGGAUUGGAGGAGAGGCCGGCCUGUCGGUUCUUCCUCCGGUUGUACUUCGCCAUGAUCAAGCUCUAAUCAAGCUUGCUCAUGAGAUGAUUCUGGUAAUCUACUUCUAAUUCAUUAUGCAAUUACUAAAUAUGUAUGUUCUGGUUCACAACUCUUUUGAGUACUUUAAUCUAUAGGACGCUAUAAGUGAGAGUUUUAGUAUAGGUGUAAGCGUGGUGCUUAGACCUAGAUUACUUGUGGAUAUCCCCUGUCUAGCUGGAUCUUGUGGUAGGCCGCGUAGGUGACAGUUACGUUGGUCCCUUGUAGUCCACCUCUUGUUAGUAGGACGGGUAGGGUUUAUCGGCCUAUGGAUAAGCAUCCUUUGUGGUGUAUUCUUAUCACGUGGUUCGUCCCAGACAUAGACAUACCCCUUUGAAGUAGAGAAACCAUAGUUAUCCUCUCUAUUCUGCUACCAUCGCCCAUAUACUAGAUUGCUUUACUCUUUAUUCCGAUUGUUAUCUUACCUUUAAUAUUGUUCUUAUUCAAUUCUACCAUCUUUCCUAUUUACACUUAUCUAUCUAUCUUGGUUAAGUUAGAGCAUAGUUGGUUCUCCCAUUUCUCUGUGGAUACGAUAAAACUUUUAACCGGGUAAAAGCUACAACGGUAUCCGUGCGCUUGCGGAUUUAUCUGUGUGCGUAUAAAUACCAUAGUACACUCUAGUGCCAUGCUGGGGAUGACAACCUAGUAUUCAAGUGGUGUUAGCAUGUGUCAACAGUAGGGCACCGGCCCUCCCCCCUUGGGCGCCCGCCCUAGCCUGAGGGCCAAUCACGCUCCACCUCGCGGAUCAUGCUCCACCGACCUAAGGGAUUAACGAAAAUCAUGCGAUUAAUGUCGGUUUGAUUUGACGGCUCAUAUUCAUUUGGAGGGACUAUAUAAGCAGACCCCCUGGCCCCUGAAGGAGAGCAAUCUGAAACCCUAAUUAAUUUAUCCAUCUCGGGAGAAGAAGCCUCUGAUCAAGCCCUAGAGCCACCACAUCAAUAGAUCUCUAGUUUAGCAUAGCUACGUAGGAUUAGAUCUAUAAGGAGUCAAUCUUCGAUUGGUUUCUGGAUCUUUCAAGAGGAUUCUUGGUAAUUCCUCUACUAUUCUUCAAUUGUUCAUCAUUGUUCUUCAAUAUUAUGAAUAUGACUUUAUUCUACUUCAAUAUAUUGAUUAUGACUUUGCUCUACUUGUUUAUAUUCACAAUUAUAUUAUUCUUAGUUUAUCAUAGUUAUAUGCUUGGCUUAGUUAGAUUGGAAUUAUAUACAUGUUUAGGAUUGUAUAGCGUUUAUCCAUGUGUACAGUGGGUAAAUGAUAAGUAUUAUGUAGGCAUGGUGCCUAUACCGUAUUUAUCUGUGAUUGUACCCUAUAUGCCGGAUCGCGGGGUAGUUCGUGGUAGUGACAGCUCCAUUGAUUCUUAUAUAGUCCCCCUCUCGUGUAUAGGGCAGGUAGAGCAACAUUAUUACAGGGGAGUGAAUGCUAUGUUUCUCAUCUUCCUUGAUAAUAUCACUAUGCAUGGGUGUAAUCCUGUCUCGCAAUGAUUGCCAAGUAUAAUUGCACUAACUAUGAUAUGCUAGACUGUAUAGUUAUGAAUAACUUAGGAAAUAUUCUUGUAGUUCAUCCUAAUUCCAUGCUAAUGACUUGCUAGAAUAUCUGUUGAGGUGCUUAUCAUAUUUAUAUGUGGCUAGUUAUGCUGAUCAGAUUAAUUAUCUUUGUCACCAUUCAUACUUUAUCUAUAUUUUUUGUGACAUUUAUCCCUAUAUGAAAGAGAUAGAUAAUGCUCUCAAUUAUACUUGCAAUGAUAGAUACUCAAUUCUAUAUUCCAUUCCAUAAUCAACAUUGAUGAUUAGAAAUCCCUUCCCGGUGGUAAAAAUAUAAAAAACGAUACCUAGAAUACUUCCCGGUUAAAAUGCUACAUCGGUAUAAAUCUGUGCGCUUGCAGAUCUCAUUUAUUAUUUAUUUAGUAGAACAAUUGCAUAUUUCAAUACCGCAUCUCUCAUGUCAUGCUGGGGAUGACAACUUGGCUUAAGUGGCAUGAGGGAUAGGUUCGGCAUUUUUGGCGCCGUUAUCAGAAUUAGAAAACUAAGUCUACUUUUGGUAGUGACGUUAAGAAUGCCCAACAAGCAUUUUUGGCGCCGUUGCCGGGGAAGGUUGAUUACUAAUCAGGAAUGAAUAUGGAAUUUUGAGUCAUCAUUCGCAUCACUAAUAUGAUUGAGAUUAUCAAUUCUCUCAUACAGUUUUACCCCAGUAUUUUUCAAUUUUAUUUUAUGCAGGGUAAUGUAUGAAUAGAAGACAUCUUCUAGGAAAUUUUGUUGACAUUCCCGAAGCAUUAUUUAGAAAAACAAGAGCCAAGCUCAAGAAGGCAUCGUCAACACUUCAGCACGAAGCUUCAUCCAACCAAGAAGACCGCCGAAGUUUCAUCCGGAACUUGUCUUCAGAAUUCUAAGUCAUGGCGAACAAAUCGAUCCGUGAGUUCUCAGCUCCCACUACGGACAACAUCCGCACUGGACCUGCUACAGAGAUCGAUGGCAACUUUGAGCUCAAGCCUGGACUUAUCAACAUGGUGCAAUCCAACCAGUUCUGUGGGAAGGCAUACGAAGAUGCUAGUGCUCAUCUCCAACACUUCCUGGAGAUUUGCAGCACAUUCACCAUAUCAAGAGUCCCUAGAGAUGUUAUACUACUUCGCCUCUUCCCAUUCUCACUGUUGGGGAGAGCGAAGCAGUGGUUUUACGCUACAAAAGAGAAGAAUACUACGUGGGCACUCUGCUACAUGAACUUUCUGGCUAAGUUCUUUCCUAUAGGCAAGACCAAUGCUCUCCGUGGGAAAAUUACAAGUUUUCAGUAACAACAUGAUGAAUCCGUUCCAGAAGCAUAGGAGCGCUUCCAAGACUACAUCCUAGAAUAUCCCCAUCAUGGAAUGGAGAGCUGGCUACUAAUGCAGACAUUUUAUCAUGGGCUCGGCAAUAGUGCCCAUGAGACCAUGGAUGCUGCAGCUGGAGGAGCAUUCCUAUCACUCACCAUACCACAAGCCAUAGCUCUUGUGGAGAAAAUGGCGUCCAACCAAGGCUGGAAUGAUGAAAAGACCCACACACGCAAGAGAGGUGGAGGUAUGCACCAACUCAAGGAGGUAGACAUGCUGUCUGCCAAGCUAGACCUGCUCAUGAAGAAGCUCGAUGAUAGAGUUGGAGAUAAGAAAGAAGUUAUGCAUAUCUACGAUUCUCACAUGACUUGUGAGGCGCGUGGAGAUACUGGAUACUCCGGCAAUCUCUGCCAUGAGAUGCUCGAGGACAUGAACUACAUCAACAACAAUGACAACAACAACUACUACAACCGACCUCAACAAAAUCAAGGAUGGAAUCAACAGAGGCCUAACUACUCAGGUAAUUAUCAAGGUAACAAUUCUUACAAUAAUAAGAAUAAUAAUUUUCCACCUCUGAGAGAGUUAGUGUCUAAUCAAGGAAAGCUAAUGGAUAACCUAUCUAAGAAAUUGGCAUCUAAUGAUAAAAUGUUAGAAAAUAUAAAUAAUAGAAUGGAUAAUUUAUCUACUGCCAUCAAGAAUCAAAUUAGCUUUCAUAAAAUUAUUGAAUCUCAGUUAAAUCAAAUAGCUGCUGCUGUUCCUGCUACUACCCCCGUUAUAUCGUCACAACCAGAAGGAUUAGAAUCUGCAAAUCUUAUAGACAUGUUUGAUACAAGUAACUACUAGAGUAACAACAUUGCAGAAGUAACUACUGACCUUCUGCCAGUCAAGAGAGGCGAUCCAGGACGCCCCGUCAUCCCGAUCUCCAUCGGCAUGGUGGACUUCGCAGAAGCACUCUAUGACUUUGGCUCUAGUGUCAACAUUAUGCCUAGGGUACUCUAUGAAAAAUUCUUUACAUAUCCUUUAUUAGAAACAACCAUGUGUUUGCAGUUUGCAGAUCAGACGCUAAGUUUCCCAAAGGGAAUGUUGAAGAACCUUUGCGUCCGAGUUGGUACCUUGUACGCCCCAGCAGACUUCGUGGUGAUAGAGACCGGUAAUGAUGAGAGGGCACCCGUCAUCUUAGGGAGGCCAUUCCUGAACACCUCAGGAGCUGUCAUCUAUGCUAGUGCUGCCAAGAUCAGUUUCUACAUUAAGGGGAGGAAGGAGACGUUUUCCUUCAAGAACAAGACUAUGCAAAUCUCGGAGCAAUCCCGACAUGAACCAAGGAAGAGGACCAAUAGGAGGAACAGGAACAAGCAAGUGUGGACCGAGUUAGUUAAGAUGGUCACUGCAGUUCAAGAAGGUCAAGAUCGUCGACUCAAGUCACCGUUCCUGACCAAAAAGGACGACCCAGGUAUGCCAAGCAUCCACUGCUCCAUUAAUGGGCACAACUUCUAUAAGACGAUUUGUGACACCGGAUCGGGCGUCAACAUAAUGGCCGCACUCACCUAUCAGAUCUUGUUCGGAACCAUGCCCCUAAAAUCGACAUGCAUUCAGCUAAAGAUGGCAGAUCAGACAUUUCAAAAGGUUGAUGGUAUAGUAACUGAUGUCCCUGUGAAAAUAGAUGUCAAUGGUGUCAAUAAAAGGGUGCCCAAACCAAUACGCAUAACAACAAUACCCGUACACCGAGGCCCCUGACUCGACGUCCCCCGUUCAUACGCUCGAUUGCUAAAACGCGAUGACGACCAUAGCCUUGAAUACAGAGAAGGGGUCGUGCGAAUCGGCUGAGGCUCGACUAAGCAUCAACCGUCGAAUACGGAACUGGCUCAUACAAAUCGACAGGCCUCGAGCGCAAGGACGCCACCCGCCGCCUAACGCGGGUACGGGAACCAGGGCAUUUAAUGCGCCUGUCGCGUUCUCACCUAACCCGGCAGUCACGGGAAGCAUGAUAGGGAGCAAGCAGUCAUCCAAUGACCCUUUUUGUAGCCUUGUCCACCAGAUGAACCAGAGUAGGGCAGGGCACAGUGAGACGGUCGGAACGUCUUGUCACAACCCCCCUCGAGACACCCAAAGUCAGCACUCCUAUCAGCAAGGCUUUGCGCGGCAUCGGACCCUCGAGUGAACACGUUCCUUCCCAAAGAAGAAUCAGGCGGUGAAAGACAGCACCUCAACCACUCUGACGCGAUAACAGCCAUGACGUACAGGCGUGCCCACGGUUAAGCCAAUCCGGGAUGGCGCGCAGGAGCCGAAUUUAGAGGCAUGCAUAAUCAUCAUCCAAGUACUGAGUAACAAGACGGCUCGAGGCCACACCGGUACGGAAGCCUCAAGUAGGUCAGCGCACAACGCCCCUAUCAACCCCUACUCUAUCACCUACGCCAUGUAACCUAGGUCACCCCUUGGAGCUAUAAAAGGGGAGGCACCGGAAAGGAUAGGAGAGACGAGACAUACGUAGAAGAACAACCACACUUCAUCUCCGUCCAUCACCGCAAUACCGACUUGUAUCCACCCCUGUACAAGCACUUAGGUGCAAGAUAAUAGAAACAUCUCCCUCCCCCCGCUAGACGUAGGGCCUUCUUGCAUCACCAUCUAUGAAAGGGAACACGCACACAAGUUUCACUCAUUGGUGUGACCCCCCGUGGGGAAAACACCGACAAUAGACGAUCAUUUUGUCCAUACAGACUUUCAGGUUGUUGACAUGGGAGAAGACGAGUACGAUCCACCCAUCAUCCUUGGGAGACCUUUCCACAGCACUGUUAAAGCAAUCAUCUACAUUGGAACUAGAGAAGUCCAUAUGCACUUCCCCUCUAAGAAGGUAUGCCACUAUUUUACUGACCCUAACUAUAUAGUUGAAGACUCUAAGCAGGUCAGGACAAGAAGAAGACAACGCAACCGCAACUAGAGGAGGCAAAUCAUCAAGGACGAAUGGGCAGACUACGAAGGAGAAGUUGUAAGGUCUGAAGACAUACAGCUUGAACAAAAUUAUCUUGAGGAGACCGUAGCACCGAGUCAGGUGUGGAGAGAGAAGAUAGUGAUACAUGAAGAGGAGGCGCCGCCGGAAGCACCGACUACGCCAUCCAGUGAAUCCCAGGACGACUCUGAAAACGGAGAGUCCCGUUCAGAGGACUUAAAAACACAGAACGCCUUGCCAAGAGGUAAACUUGGUACUUAUCCUUUUCCUUUCAAUUAUUUAAAAUUGUUUGCUUAGUUAAUCAUGUUCAUAUUAUCCUAAAAAGAAAAUAAAAAAAUGUUAAAACCAGUAAGCCCCAUGUGAGUAUACAAGUGGCAUAAAACCCAUAAGUACAUUCACUCUGGUGGCAUAAAAAAAUAAUAAAAUAAAAAUAUUCUUCUGCUCUAUAAAAAAUGAGAAUAUAAAAAUUGUGAUCCCACCAAAGAGAGUCACAUUUAUUGAGGAGGCUCAACAUGAUAAAAGCUAGAUAUUUAUGCUAACACCUAAUCAGUUCCACAAAGCUUUGUUGUCUAUUUGAGCUCCACAGAAUUCAAGGACCAAGAAGACUAGCAGACAGAGGACAUUCUAAUUGCUGUCAGGGUGCUACCGACAUUCAAAUACACCUCUACCACCUGCUAGCUACAUCAGAAGAAAUUACGUCAAAAUCCAGCUUUGGGGAGAGCACCCACAUUUAUCCCGCUAAGUAUUUCUAUCUACAUUUAUACUUAUACUAUAUUAAAAUAAAAAUAUACAUAACCAUAAAAAACCAAAUAAAGAUUUUGUGCUUAUAUAUAUAUAUAUGUGUGUAUUUUGCUUAGUGUGCUUAAUAAAUAAAUAAAGUGACUAUGCUAGACUGAAUCUUAAUAAAACUCUAGCAUCGAUAUUGUUGACGGUCCUUAAGUAUCAAAAUUAAUUAUCAAAUAAACAAAGAAAAGGAUCCAAAUGAAAUCAACAUCCAAACUUAGGGUUUUAUCUGACAGAAUUCCACGUGUUUUGGUGUUUGUCUAUUUCUGCAGGGGGUUAACAGGAAAUACGGAAGAAAGGCCCACACGUCGGGAUUACAUAGAGAUAUCAAUGUGUCGGGCAAUUAUCUUACAUCUAGAAGACUCCAGAAGCCACGGGAAAGAAGCGGAGGCCGAACGGGGCCAGGCACUGGGCGCCCGCCCCCUCCUGGAGUCCAAACAGGACUCUCUUUCAGGAAAGAUCUCCACCGACCUAAAGGAUCAAGGAUAACCGUUCAAUCAAUGUCGGUUUGAUCCAACGGCCCAUAUUCACUUGAAGGGACUAUAAAACCAGACCCCCUGGUCCCUGGAGGAGAGGAGCCUCUCAACCCUAAUUCAUUAUUCUCAAGGGAGAAGAAGCCUCUAAUCAAGAUUAGAGCCACCACGUCAAUUAGAUAUCUAGAUUAGCAUAGCUACAUAGGAUUAGAACUAGAAGGAGUUAAUCUUCGAUUGGUUUCCGGAUCUGUCAAGAGGAUUCUUGGUAAUUCUCUAAUUGUUCUUCUAAUUUUUCUUCUAAUUAUCUUUGUUCUUCAAUAUUAUGAAUAUGACUUUGUUCAACUUCGGUAUAUUGCUUAUGACUUUGCUCUACUUGUUUAUAUUCAAGAUUAUAUUGUUCUUGCGUCAAAAAGAUUAUAUUGUUCUUAGUUUAUCAUAGUUAUAUCCUUGGCUUAGUUAGAUUGGAUCUAUAUACAUGUUUAGGAUCGUGUAGCGUUUAUCCAUCGGAUCCAUGGGUAAAUGAUAGAUAUUGUGUAGGCGUGGUGCUUAUACCGUAUUUAUCUGCGAUUGUACCCAAUAUGCCAGAUCGUGGGGUAGUUCGUGAUAGUGACAGCUUCAUUGAUUCUUAUAUAGUCCCCCUCUCGUGUAUUGGGCUGGCAGAGCAACUUUAUUACAGGGGAGAGAUUGCUAUGUUUCUCAUUUACCUUGCUAAUAUCACUAUGCAUGGGCGUAGUCUUGUCUCACAAUGAUUGCUAAGUAUGCUUGCACUAACUAUGAUAAUGCUAGACUAUAUAGUUGAGAAUAACUUAGGAAAUAUUCUUGUAGUUCGUUCUAAUUCCAUGCUAAUGACUUUCUAGAAUAUCUAAUUGUGGUGCUUAUCAUAUUUAUUAUGUGGCUAGUUAUGCUGAUCAGAUUAAUUAUCCUUGUCACUAUUCAUUAUUUCAUAUAUCUUUUAUGUGACACUUGUCCCUGUAUGAUAGAGUUAGAUAAAUGUUCUCAAUUAUACAUGCAAUGAUAGAUACUCAAUCUCAUAUUCUAUUCUGUAAUCAAUAUUGAUGAUUGCUAAUCCCUUCCCAGUGGUAAAAAUAUAAAUAACGAUACCUGGAAUACUUCCCGGUUAAAAUGCUACAUCGGUAUUAAUCUGUGCGCUUGCAGAUCUCAUUCAUUAUUUAUUUAGAAGAGCAAUUGCAUAUUUCAAUACCGCGUCUCUCAUGUCAUGCUGGGGAUGACAACUUGGCUUAAGUGGUAUGAGGGAUAGGUUUGGCAUUUUUGGCACCGUUAUCAGAAUUAGAAAACUAAGUCUACUUUUGGUAGUGAUGUUAAGAAUACCCAACAAGCAUUUUUGGCGCCGUUGCCAGGGAAGGUUGAUUACUAAUCAGGAAAGAAUAUAGGAUUUUGAGUUAUCAUUCGCAUCACUAAUAUGAUUGAGCUUAUCAAUUCUCUCAUACAGUUUUACCCCGAUUUUUUUCUUUUUUAUCUUAUGUAGGGUAAUGUAUGAAUAGAAGAUAUCUUCCAGGAAACUUUGUUGACAAUCCCGAAGCAUUAUUCAGAAAAACAAGAGCCAAGCUCAAGAAAAGAUCAUCAACACUUCAGCAAGAAGCUUCAUCCAAUCAAGAAGAUCAUCGGAACUUGUCUUCAGAGUUCGAAGCCAUGGCAAACAAAUCGAUCCGCGAGUUCUCAGCUCCCACUACGGACAACAUCCGCACUGGACCUGCUGCAGAGAUCGACGGCAACUUUGAGCUCAAGCCUGGACUUAUCAACAUGGUGCAAUCCAACCAGUUCUGUGGGAAGGCACAUGAUGUUAGUGCUCAUCUCCAACACUUCCUGGAGAUUUGCAGCACAAUCACCAUAUCAGGAGUCCCCAGAGAUGCUAUACUACUUCGCCUCUUCCCAUUCGCACUGUUAGGAAGAGCGAAGCAGUGGUUCUACGCUACAAAGGAGAAGAAUACUACGUGGGCACUCUGCUCCAUGAACUUUUUGGCUAAGUUCUUUCCCAUGGGCAUGACCAAUGCUCUCCGUGGGAAAAUUACAAGUUUUCAGCAACAACAUGAUGAAUCUGUUCAAGAAGCAUGAGAGCGUUUCCAAGACUACAUCCUAGAAUGUCCCCAUCAUGGAAUGGAGAGUUGGCUACUGAUGCAGACAUUUUAUCAUAGGCUCGACAACAGUGCCUGAGAGACCAUGGAUGCUGCAGCUGGAGGAGCAUUCUUAUCACUUACCAUAUCAUAAGCCACAGCUCUUGUGGAGAAGAUGGCGUCCAACCAAAGCUGGAAUGAAGAGAGGACCCAGACAUGCAAGAGAGGUGGAGGUAUGCAUCAGCUCAAGGAGGUAGGCAUGCUGUCUGCAAAGCUAGACCUACCCAUGAAGAAGCUCGAUGAUAGAGCUGGAGAUAAGAAAGAAUUUAUGCACAUCUAUGACUUUCACAUGACUUGUGAGGAGUGUGGAGAUACUGGACACUCAGGCAAUCACUGCCCUGAGAUGCUUGAGGAUGUGAACUACAACAACAAUAACAAGAACUACUACUACAACCGUCCUCAACAAAAUCAAGGUUGGAAUCAACAGAGGCCUAACUACUUAGGUAAUUAUCAAGGUAACAAUUCUUACAACAAUAAUAAUAAUUUUCCACCUCUGAGAAAGUUAGUGUCUAAUCAAGGAAAGCUAAUGGAUAACCUGUCUAAGAAAUUGGCAUCUAAUGAUAAAAUGCUGGAAAAUAUAAAUAAUAGAAUGGAUAAUUUCUCUACUGCCAUCAAGAAUCAAAUUAGCUUUAAUAAAAUGAUUGAAUCUCAGUUAAAUCAAAUAGCUGCUGCUGUUCCUGCUACUAACCCUGGUAUACCAUCACAACCGGAAGGAUUAGAAUCUGCAAAUCUUGUAGACAUGUUUGAUGUAGGUAACUGGAGUAACCCCGUCACUGAAGUUACUACUGACCUUCUGCCAGUCAAGAGAGGCGAUCCAGGACAACCAGUCAUCCCGAUCUCCAUCGGCAUGGUGGACGUCCCAGAAGCACUCUGCAACUUUGGCUCCAGCGUCAACAUUAUACCUAAGGUACUCUAUGAAAAAUUCUUUACAUAUCCUUUAUUAGAAACAACCAUGUGUUUGUAGUUUGCAGAUCAGACGAUAAGUUUUCCAAAAGGAAUAUUGAAGGACCUUUGUGUCUGAGUUGGUACCUUGUAUGCCCUAGCAGACUUCAUGGUGAUAGAGACCGUUCCUCAGCACCGUUAAAGCAAUUAUCUACAUUGGAACUGGAGAAGUCCAUAUGCACUUCCCCUCAGAAAAGGUACGCCGCUAUUUUACUGACCCUAACUAUAUCGUUGAAGAAUCUAAGCAGGUUAGAAAACGACGCAACCGCAACCAGAGGAGGGAAAUCAUCAAGGACGGAUGGGCAGACUAUGAAGGAGAAGUUGUAAGGUCAGAUUACAUUCAGUUUAAACAGAAUUAUCCAGAGGAGAACGUAGCACCAAGUCAGGUGUGGAAAGAGAAGAUAACUAUACAUGAAGAGGAGGCGUCGCCGGAAGUACUGACUCCGCCACUGUUGACGGUCCUUAAUGCUCAUAUUUAAUCAUCAACUAAUCAUAAAAAGGAUCCAAAUGCAACCAACACCUAGACUUAGGGUUUUAUCUGACAGAAUUCCACGAGUUUUGGUGUUUGUCUAUUUCUGCAGGGGGUUAUCAGGAAAUACGGAAGAAAGGCCCACACGUCUGGUUUACAUAGAGAUAUUAACGUGUCGCGCAAUUUUCUACCAUCUAGAAGACUCCAGAAGCCACGGGAACGAACGGGAGGCCGAUCGGGCCCGGGGGCAGGGCGCCCGCCCAAGUCCCUUGGGUGCCUGCCUAGCUACAGUAACCAAUCAGCUUCAACUUCGCGGAUCGUGCUCCACCGACCUAAGGGACCAAGGAAAACCGUACGAUUAAUGUCGGUUUGAUCCGAUGGCCUAGAUUCAUCUGAAAAGACUAUAUAAGCAAGGCCCCCUGGCCCCUGGAGAGCAUACCUCUUCUACAGAAUCAAAGUUAGGGUUUCAAUUCUUCAUCCAAGUAGAGAGGAUCCCUCUAGUUCUUCUAGUUCUACCUCUAGUUCAUCUAGAUCUAGUUCUAGUUCAUCUAGUUCUAGUUCUAGUUCCUCUAGUUCUAGUUCUAGUUACUUCUAGUUGUAAUCUAGAAAAUAGGGAGAGAGAAGAGGAGAGUGGAGGAGGAGCCGGAUCUGUCAGAUCUUCCUCAACAUUGUACUUUUGCAGCAACUGGUUCGUUCUUCAUCGUUCUCCAGGUUCUUCAAUUCAUAAUUCCUGAGUUCUCUAAUUACUUUUAUUUACAUUCAAGUUAUUUAUUGGAUUCCCGCUUGCAUCAAGUGCUCUAGUCUUUAUAACGCUAGAGUAGUAAUUAAUAGAUUAGACGUGGUGUUUAGUCUUGCGAUUACCUGGAAUUGCACCCAAUCCUACGGAUUGUUGUGGUAGCCUUAGGGUAGUAACAGCCCUAACGGUCGACGUAUUCCACCUCGUUCGGAUCGGUGUUUGUAGGACCGUAGUCAGACCUUCCUAGCCCCCUUCUCAUCUCUUUCUGUGGUUAGUGCUCUGAUGUCCCGAUAUAAAUAAUCUUGGAAGUAAUUCUUGAUUCUUAGAUCAACUAAAGAACUCUGAGGAAACUUCCUCUCUUCCCACCAAAAAUAAUUAUAUAGUUAUCCUUGGGCGAUCGUGGAUCUUAAUUAGUACACUCACGUUCUCUGUGGAAAAUCGAUACUCUGGAAUACUCCCGGGUGAAAGCUACAUCGGUAUCCGUGCGCUUGCGGAUUUUUCUGUUUGCGUUUAAAAUACCCAACAAGCUUUCUGGCGCCGUUGCCGGGAACGGUAGCUGCGCUAGUUUCGAACCAAGUCGUCCGUGUAUCCUUUUUCCUUUUCUUUUUUACCACACUCACCUUAUCAUUUUCACCAUACCACAUGGAUUUCAAUCUAAGCAUUAAUGAGCAUGGAAUUUCUUUCAUAGCCACUUCAUUUACUCCAUGCUCAUAUGCAACAUCUUCACAAUCCAUUGGUCUCUGCAACAUCACCACAUUCGAGAUCUCCAACCCCCUCUUCCUUUCUAUUCAUAAAAACUUUAAAAGGGCGGUUGUCGAUGCAUAUGUCUAUAAUAAAUUUUGCAGAUCUCGUUGAGUUGAUCUUGAUAUAGGUCAGCGUUGGAGGGGAAACCACUUCGCCGACAUAAAUUAAUGGUUUCCCAAGGACAAGCUUAGUGUCCUAAAACAAGCACUCAUGAGAUUGUAACAUGAGUUUUUAAUUAUUUGCAAUAUUACCUUGUGUAUUGAGCAUAUAAUAAUAAUUGUAAAAAUAUUCCUUCGGGUAUUCUUGUCACUAACCUUUCCAGGAUUGGAGCAAGAAGAUCGGAUGAAUGACAAGCACAAGGUAUGUCCAACCAAUCAUCAUACAACAUUGAAUUAAAUUCAUCCAAACUUGAAUUUUGCAAAAUUCAAGCUUGGGGGAGUACUUUACAUAAAAACAUCCUUUGCCAUGUUGCUAUGUUGGUUGUCCCUACCUUUGAGACAUGCUCAAUCUGUUAAAUACUAAUCACACUACUUCAUCUCCACUUGAGUAGAUCUCUAUAAAUGCUUUCAUGCUACCUUUAUUUGCUUUAUUAUAUGUCUAGGCUUGGAGUAGUUUCAUUUAUCUCUUAAUUAAGCAUGGUGCUUAGUUUAGGGCUGAUGAUCUUAUUUCCAAGGGAUUUUUAAAUUAAGCAUGAUGCUUAGGUUAAAAUGCCCUCCUAAAUCAAAUUAGACAUGGUGUCUAGGUUGAUUUUUGAGCCGAUAGUAUGCUAUAGUAGAUAUUGGAUAUUUUGUUGGACUAACCCCUGCUGGAGAACUUUUAAUAUUGACCUAGGGAAGUCCUGAGAUACACCAACAUUGGAGACAGAGAGAGACACAUGAAGUUUAACAAUUUACACAAGGAAGACAUAGCUCACAAGAGAUGAUCCAUGGAGGGUGCCACAAACACGAUGCACAACCGCUAAGAGAGGAAAGCUUCCACAAGGUGAUAUUGUACCAUCACCCUUCAAGUAAAGUAAUAUUUUAAGGUACUUGACUAUCACUUCUAUAAGCUUCUCCUUGGUUCUGGCGUUCACAUGAAUAAAAGAGACAAACAUGUAUGAUUUACAACUCUAGAUUAACCAACCCAAUCGAUUCAAUAUGUUUAGUCCUUCCACCUUUGUGAUCCCAUACUCCUAAUCAUAUGACCUAAAAUGUUGCACACUCAAUCUUUGGAAGAUAUAUUUUAUAAAAAAAACAACAUAAAUAUAGAUAGAUUAUCUUUCCAUUAGGUUGAGCGAUCGGAUCUGACAAAUGUUUUAAAUGCUACACUCAUGAUUUUAUUAUCCAUCAACUUUGUCUUGCUCACUAUGCUUAAGGUUAGAGAAGAACAAAUACACUUUUGGUUCUGUUGGUGUUUUCCACCAACAGGGCCCAUGCACUUGAUCUCUGCCUUGUCUCUAUAAGCAGGUACACUUCGAGCAAAAUAUGAAGGAGUUUUACAACUCCCAGACUCCACCAAUUGAAGAACCUAGAUCUACGAGCACAAACACACUGGAGAUACUAGAUAGUCAGGCAAUCACUGCCCUGAGAUGCUUAAGGACGUAACUUCUAGAGUAACACUAUUGUGGAAGUAAUUACUGACCUUCUGCCGGUCAAGAGAGGCAAUCCAGGAUGCCCCGUCAUCCCGAUCUCCAUCGGCAUGGUGGACUUCCCAGAAGCACUCUGUGACUUUGGCUCCAGCGUCAACAUUAUGCACAGGGUACUCUAUGAAAAAUUCUUUACACAUCCUUUAUUAGAAACAUCCAUGUGUUUGCAGCUUGCAGAUUGGACACUAAGUUUCCCAAAGGGAAUAUUGAAGAUCCUCUACGUCCGAGUUGGUACCUUAUAUGCUCCAGCAGACUUCGUGGUGAUAGAGACUGGUACUGAUGAGAGGGCACUCAUCAUCUUAGGGAGGCCAUUCCUGAACACCUCGGGAGCUAUCAUCUACAUUAGUGCUGCCAAGAUCAGUUUCUACAUCAAGGGGAGGAAGGAGACGUUUUCCUUCAAGAACAAGACUACACAAAUCUCAGAGCAAUCCCGACAUGAACCAAGGAAGAGGACCAACAGGAGGGACAGGAACAAGCAAAUGUGGACCAAGUUAGCUAAGAUGGUCACUGCAGUUCAAGGAGGUCAAGAUCGUCAACUCAAGUCGCCUUUCUUGAUCAAGAAGGAUGACCCUAGUGUUCCAGGCAUCGAGUGCACAAUCAACGGAUAUUCUUUUCAGAAGACACUCUACGACACCGGAUCUGACGUCAACACAAUGGCCUCAGUCACUUAUCAGAUCCUGCAUGGAACCAUGCCCCUAAAACCGACAUACAUUCAGCUCCAGAUGAUUUUAAGGUUAUUGACAUGGGAGAAGACGAAUUCGAUCCACCCGUGAUAAUUGGAAGACCGUUCCUCGGCACCGUUAAAGCAAUCAUCUACAUUGGAACCGGAGAAGUCCACAUGAACUUCCCCUCUGAGAAGGUACGCCUCUAUUUUACUGACCCUAACUAUAUAGUUGAAGACUCUAAGCAGGUCAGGACAAGAAGAAGACAACGCAACCGCAACCAGAGGAGGCAAAUUAUCAAGGACGGAUGGACAGACUACGAAGGAGAAGUAGUGAGGUCUGAAGACAUACAGCUUGAACAGAACUGUCCUGAGGAGACCGUAGCACCGAGUCAGGUGUGGAGAGAGAAGAUAGUUAUACACGAAGAGCAGGCUCUGCCGGAACCACCGACUAUGCCAUCCAGCGAAUCCCAGGACGAUUGAGAAACAGAGAGUCCCGUUCGGAGGACUUAAAAACACCGAACGCCUUGCCAAGAGGUAAACUUGGUAGUUAUCUUUUUCCUUUCAAUUAUUUAAAAUAGUUUGCUUAGUUAAUCAGGUUCAUAUCAUCUUAAAAAGAAAAAGAAAAAAAUGUUAAAAAUAGUAAGCCCCAUGUGAGUAUGCUCAUGGCAUAAAACCCAUAAGUACAUUCACUGUGGUGGCGUGAAAAUGAAAUAAAUAUAUUCCUAUCCUAUAAAAAUAAAAUUAUAAAAAUAAAUUUACGAUCCUACUACAGAGAGUAAUAUUUAUUGAGGAGGCUCAACAUGAUAAAGGCUAGAUAUUUAUGCUAACACUUAACUAGUUCCACAAAGCUUUGUUGUCUAAUUGAGCUCCAUAGAAUUCAAGGAUCAAAGAAGACUAGCAGACAGAGGACAUCCUAACCGCUGUCAGGAUGCUGCCGACAUUCAAAUACACCUCCGCCACCUGCUAGCUACAUCAGAAGAAAUUAUGUCAAAAUCCAGCUUGGGGGAGAGCACCCCCAUUUAUCCAGCUAAGUAUUCUACUCACGUUUAAACUUUUCUCGAAUAAUAAAAAGAUGCGUAAUUAUAAAGACCCAAAUAAAGAUUUUGUGCUUAUAUAUAUAUAUUUCUUUGCUUAGUUUGCUAAAUAUAUAAAUAAGUAAAGUUUGCUAUGAACCCUCAUGAUAAGCUCUCACAUGGAAAUGAUGAAUAGUUGCUCUGCCAUGUACCUAGUUUUCAAGUUUAAGCUUUCUCUCAAGUUUAGUCAUGACUGUUAUUAAUUAAGAUUUGCUCUAAACCUGAACUUGUGGGAAGAGUACUUGAUCGGAAGUCUAAGUCGUUAACGGAUAUGAUAUGGGAAGGUUGAGCUGUUGUUUAUCAGUUCCUAGAGAUGCUAGAAUUCUGGAGAAUUUUAUCUUUGAAAAUCUUUAAAAUGUUGCAUGAUGAGUUCAUGUAUGAUGAGAGUUUAAAUUCCUACCACAGCCAUAUAUACAUGCUUGCUAGACUAUGAACCACACAUUUACUUUACUACUUAUGAGCAUUGAGUGUGGUCAAGCUGUGUAGAACCUUAGGAGCUUGUCAUGUGGUUAAAAUCAAGAUUCACUUGCACGUUCACUCAUACAUGCUGUUUCUACUCCGGAAGUACGCACCCACAUAUAUCCACCCAUUUUUAUCUCUAGAACCACCCAAAAAUAUUCUACUCCUAAUCUGGGAGAGAAUAGCCAAAAAUAUUCCUGUUUUUCCCUGUGAAAUAAAUGCUCAAGUUAUCUUGGUUACUACCACUUGCUAUAUUAUCUCAUGAGAUGAGUGCUCUAAAGAACAAAAAAAGAGAAAAAAAAAGAAGAAGAAUACGAGGAAAUAAAAAGGGGCAAGUGCCCGGAACCUCGAAAGAAAAAAAGAAAAAGUGAGACGAGAUGUCAAAAUGGACAAGUGUCCGACAGUAGAAUUAGGGGUACAAGAUACCCACCUGAGAGAAAAGAAAAAGAAAAUAUAGAGCAUCUCAUUCUCAUCAAAAAGUUUCAAAAGAGCAAGAAAGGUAUGUAUCCCCUCAAAAGAGCAUAAGUAGAAUUAGACUUUCACCAUUGUUAUCACCAUCAUUACCAUGCAUCAUUCAUUCGCCACACAUGCACAUCUUGAUCUAACUUAUUGACUUGUUCUUCUGGAUCCAUGGUUUUACUAUGCAAUAAAUGUCUUGUAAGUAUGUAUUAGCUGUCUCCCACCUAUGAGCUCCAGAUAUCAAAAGCCUUAUUAGAGUAGGGUGAGAGAGAAGGCAAUGUCACUAUGCCUUAUACCAAAAAUACCACAUACUUUGAGAGAAGGCAUACACCUUUACUGCCUUGGUAAGGAUCCAGAAAUACCACAAAAGAGAGACUAGAGAGAGUCAUACAAGGAAUCUCUGAGUUUUAUUUGAAAAUCUGCAAAAACUCCAGAGCUAUAGUUAAUCGAAGAACAAGAGACAUGGCGUUUGACUAGACCGUUCUAUCUUUUAACUGCUCAAGACACAGGUGACGGUUGCAAGCCCCAUGGUGGAAGGUAAUAUGAGUAAGUUUAAAUCUUAACAGUUUACCCUAACCUAGAGAUGAGAUCUUGUUUGAACGCAUGUGUAUCUUUAAGGUAUAAAACCACUGCAGAAACUCUUGAGUCCAUCUUUGCUCAGGGACGAGCAAAGGUUAAGCUUGGGGGAGCUUGUUGACGGUCCUUAAUGCUCAUAUUUAAUCAUCAACUAAUCAUGGAAAAGGAUCCAAAUGCAACCAACACCUAGACUUAGGGUUUUAUCUGACAGAAUUCCACGAGUUUUGGUGUUUGUCUAUUUCUGCAGGGGGUUAUCAGGAAAUACGGAAGAAAGGCCCACACGUCGGGUUUACAUAGAGAUAUUAACGUGUCGCGCAAUUUUCUACCAUCUAGAAGACUCCAGAAGCCACGGGAACGAACGGGAGGCCGAUCGGGCCCGGGGGCAGGGCGCCCGCCCAAGUCCCUUGGGUGCCCGCCCAGCUACAGUAACCAAUCAGCUUCAACUUCGCGGAUCGUGCUCCACCGACCUAAGGGACCAAGGAAAACCGUGCGAUUAAUGUCGGUUUGAUCCGACGGCCUAGAUUCAUCUGAAAAGACUAUAUAAGCAAGGCCCCCUGGCCCCUGGAGAGCAUACCUCUUCUACGGAAUCAAAGUUAGGGUUUCAAUUCUUCAUCCAAGUAGAGAGGAUCCCUCUAGUUCUUCUAGUUCUACCUCUAGUUCAUCUAGUUCUAGUUCUAGUUAGUUCUAGUUGUAAUCUAGAAAAUAGGGAGAGAGAAGAGGAGAGCGGAGGAGGAGCCGGAUCUGUCAGAUCUUCCUCAACAUUGUACUUUUGCAGCAACUGGUUCGUUCUUCAUCGUUCUCCAGGUUCUUCAAUUCAUAAUUCCUGAGUUCUCUAAUUACUUUUAUUCACAUUCAAGUUAUUUAUUGGAUUCCCGCUUGUAUCAAGUGCUCUAGUCUUUAUAACGCUAGAGUAGUAAUUAAUAGAUUAGACGUGGUGUUUAGUCUUGCGAUUACCUGGAAUUGCACCCAAUCCUGUGGAUUGUUGUGGUAGCCUUAGGGUAGUGACACCCCUAACGGUCAACGUAUUCCACCUCGUUCGGAUCGGUGUUUGUAGGACCGUAGUCAGACCUUCCUAGCCCCCUUCUCAUCUCUUUCUGUGGUUAGUGCUCUCAUGUCCCGAUAUAAAUAAUCUUGGAAGUAAUUCUUGAUUCUUAGAUCAACUAAAGAACUCUCAGGAAACUUCCUCUCUUCCCACCAAAAAUAAUUAUAUAGUUAUCCUUGGGCGAUCUUGGAUCUUAAUUAGUACACUCACGUUCUCUGUGGAAAAUCGAUACUCUGGAAUACUCCCGGGUGAAAGCUACAUCGGUAUCCGUGCGCUUGCGGAUUUUUCUGUUUGCGUUUAAAAUACCCAACAACCACCCAACGAAUCCCAGGACAAUUGAGAAAACGGAGAGUCCCGUUCGGAGGACUUAAAAACACCGAACGCCUUGCCAAGAGAAUUUAAGAAGACUAGCAGACGGAGGACAUUCUAAUCGCUGUCAGAAUGCUGCUGACUUUCAAAUACACCUCUGCCACCUGCUAGCUACAUCAAAAGAAAUUACGUCAAAAUUCAGCU